UUAAAUUGAAGAGUUUGAUCAUGGCUCAGAUUGAACGCUGGCGGCAGGCCUAACACAUGCAAGUCGAACGGUAACAGGAAGAAGCUUGCUUCUUUGCUGACGAGUGGCGGACGGGUGAGUAAUGUCUGGGAAACUGCCUGAUGGAGGGGGAUAACUA
rnacentral:rRNA from 1 species